rnacentral:rRNA from 1 species
UACGGGGGGGCAAGCGUUGUUCGGAAUUACUGGGCGUAAAGGGUUCGUAGGUGGCCAACUAAGUCAGACGUGAAAUCCCUCAGCUUAACUGGGAACUGCGUCUGAUACUGGUCGGCUUGAGUGCAGGAGAGGAACGCGGAAUUCCAGGUGUAGCGGUGAAAUGCGUAGAGAUCCGGAGGAACACCGAAGGCGAAGGCAGUGUCCUGGGGAGUACCUGACGCUCAGGUGCGAAAGCUAGGGAGCGAACGGG